rnacentral:rRNA from 1 species
CAGCCGCCGCGGUAAUACGAAGGGGGCUAGCGUUGUUCGGAUUUACUGGGCGUAAAGGGUGCGUAGGCGGACUGAUAAGUCAGGGGUGAAAUCCCAAGGCUCAACCUUGGAACUGCCUUUGAUACUGUUAGUCUUGAGUUCGAGAGAGGUGAGUGGAACUGCGAGUGUAGAGGUGAAAUUCGUAGAUAUUCGCAAGAACACCAGUGGCGAAGGCGGCUCACUGGCUCGAAACUGACGCUGAGGCACGAAAGCGUGGGGAGCAAACAGGAUUAGAUACCCCAGUAGUCCCUGUCUCUUAUAA